rnacentral:rRNA from 1 species
CAGUCGCCGCGGGAAUACGGAGGGGGCUAGCGUUGUUCGGAAUUACUGGGCGUAAAGCGCACGUAGGCGGCUUGGUAAGUUAGAGGUGAAAGCCCGGAGCUCAACUCCGGAAUUGCCUUUAAGACUGCCGAGCUAGUAGGUGAGAGAGGUAAGUGGAAUUCCGAGUGUAGAGGUGAAAUUCGUAGAUAUUCGGAAGAACACCAGUGGCGAAGGCGGCUUACUGGCUCAUUCUAGACGCUGAGGUGCGAAAGCGUGGGGAGCAAACAGGAUUAGAUACCCCGGUAGUCCCUGUCUCUUAUAC